AGUGAACGCUGGCGGUAGGCCUAACACAUGCCAGUCGAACGGCAGCACAGUAAGAGCUUGCUCUUACGGGUGGCGAGUGGCGGACGGGUGAGGAAUACAGCGGAAUCUACUUUUUCGUGGGGGAUAACGUAGGGAAACUUACGCUAAUACCGCAUACGACCUACGGGUGAAAGCAGGAGAUCUUCGGACCUUGCGCGAGUGAAUGAGCCGAUGUCGGAUUAGCUAGUUGGCGGGGUAAAGGCCCACCAAGGCGACGAUCCGUAGCUGGUCUGAGAGGAUGAUCAGCCACACUGGAACUGAGACACGGUCCAGACUCCUACGGGAGGCAGCAGUGGGGAAUAUUGGACAAUGGGCGCAAGCCUGAUCCAGCCAUACCGCGUGGGUGAAGAAGGCCUUCGGGUUGUAAAGCCCUUUUGUUGGGAAAGAAAAGAAGAAGGUUAAUACCCCGCUGUUCUGACGGUACCCAAAGAAUAAGCACCGGCUAACUUCGUG
rnacentral:rRNA from 1 species